CGAUGAUGCAUCAGAUGCUUACAAGGGCCGAUAUAUCCACAAUGAUGGGAGUUACACUCCUUCUACAGUCAAACUCCCGGGCAAAACGAUCGGCUGACUCACCGACUUAGCCCCGGCCAAGAAAGGCAAAACGCCGACGCGACCAAUGUCGCGUUCACGACUUACCGACCAGGUCACGACCGGUCGAAGGAUAUUCGGCUUACCACCGUUUAUCACACGGCGUGACGUAAAUACCCGG
rnacentral:lncRNA from 1 species